UACGAAGGGUGCUAGCGUUGUUCGGAAUCACUGGGCGUAAAGCGUGCGUAGGCGGCUUUGCAAGUCAGGGGUGAAAUCCCACAGCUCAACUGUGGAAUUGCCUUUGAAACUGCAUGGCUGGAGUAUUGGAGGGGUCAGGGGAAUUCCUAAUGUAGUGGUGAAAUACGUAGAUAUUAGGAGGAACACCGGUGGCGAAGGCGCCUGACUGGACAAUAACUGACGCUGAGGCACGAAAGCGUGGGGAUCAAACAGG
rnacentral:rRNA from 2 species